GAAGCAAUCCGCCUGGGGACUACGGUCGCAAGACUAAAACUCAAAGGAAUUGACGGGGACCCGCACAAGCGGUGGAGCAUGUGGUUUAAUUCGAUGCAACGCGAAAAACCUUACCACUCCUUGACAUGGAGAUUAGAUCCUUCUUAACGGAAGGGCGCAGUUCGGCUGGAUCUCGCACAGGUGCUGCAUGGCUGUCGUCAGCUCGUGUCGUGAGAUGUUGGGUUAAGUCCCGCAACGAGCGUAACCCUCAUCCUUAGUUGCCAGCGGGUUAUGCCGGGCACUUUAAGGAAACUGCCAGUGGUAAACUGGAGGAAGGUGGGGAUGAUGUCAAGUCAGCACGGCCCUUAUGGGGUGGGCUACACACGUGCUACAAUGGUGACUACAAUAGGUUGCAAUGGUCGCAAGAA
rnacentral:rRNA from 1 species